rnacentral:rRNA from 1 species
UGACAGUACUCCUACGGGAGGCAGCAGUGGGGAAUAUUGGACAAUGGGGGGAAACCCUGAUCCAGCAAUGCCGCGUGUGUGAAGAAGGCCUGCGGGUUGUAAAGCACUUUCAGUGGGGAGGAGGAUUGAUUGGUUAAGAGCUGAUUAAUUGGACGUUACCCAGAGAAGAAGCACCGGCUAACUCCGUGCCAGCAGCCGCGGUAAUACGGAGGGUGCAAGCGUUAAUCGGAAUUAUUGGGCGUAAAGGGUGCGUAGGUUGUCUUUUAAGUUAUCUGUGAAAUAACCUGGGCUUAACCCCGGGGGUGGUCAGGUAAUACUGGGGGACGUUGAGUAUAGGAGAGGGCAGUGGAAUUUCCGGUGUAGCGGUGAAAUGCGUAGAUAUCGGAAGGAACACCGGUGGCGAAGGCGACUGCCUGGCCUAAUACUGACACUGAGGCACGAAAGCGUGGGUAGCAAACAGGAUUAGAUACCCUGGUAG